rnacentral:rRNA from 1 species
CCCUUAGAUGUUCUGGGCCGCACGCGCGCUACACUGAUGCGUUCAACAAGUUUCCUUGGCCGAGAGGCCUGGGCAAUCUUCUUAAUAUGUAUCGUGAUAGGGAUAGAUUAUUGCAAUUAUUAAUCUUGAACGAGGAAUUCCUAGUAAACGCAGAUCAUCAAUCUGCAUUGAUUACGUCCCUGCCCUUUGUACACACCGCCCGUCGCACCUACCGAUUGGAUGUUCCGGUGAAGCCUCGGGAUGAGGACUGGUGCCCUUAUUGGCAUGAGUUGUUCAGAACUUGUCUAAACCUUAUCAUCUAGAGGAAGGUGAAGUCGUAACA